AGAGGGGCGGCGCCGUGGGGCACCCCGGCCCCGCCUCCCCCGCGUCCUGCACCCUGGCCCCUUGUCCCACACCCCACACCAUGGCCCCGCGUCCCGCAACCGCGUCCCCCGCCCCUCAUCAACCCCGCACGGCAGGGGCUUGAGCGCCACGACCCACGCUCCGCGCCCGUCUCCGGCCACUGGGACCCCAGGCGCCCCCACGGCGCAGCGCCCACGCCUCCUCGCGCCCCGUCCCCUUCGCCGGGCUCACCCCUGCGCCCCCCGCCCGCCCCUCUCGGCUCGGGUGACCGCUGGUCAGUCAGGCCGGGACCCGCUACCCGGCACCCACGCUUGUUAGCCGCUGGGCUCCGGCUGCGGCCCCUCCGCUCCCGCUCGCCGACGGCCACGGGGACACGGGGCACCCUCCACCGAGCCGCGUCCGUGGCAGCCCCUCCACUCCUUGGAGACCCCUGCGCUGGAGGACGGCAGGGCAGCUCCGGGUCACGGGGCGGCCGCAGGCCCACCCUCACCUCGGCGGGUCCCCGCGCCAGGCUCCCGGGCCUGCGGGAGGAGAGAACAGUGAGGAGGAGCCCUGCCCGGGGUGUCCCGCAGCCCGGCCGGACGGCACCCCCACCACCCCGGGAGCGGGACGGCAAGCGGGUGCCGGCCACAGAGCAGCGUGCAGCCCCGCGUGACCGGGAAGCAGGUCCACGGGCCAGCCAAGGUGAGUGGAGCCGGGGACCCCAAGCGUGCGCGUUGGAGUCCUACCCCUCCAAACACCGCGGGAGAGCCCCGCCCCCGGAGGCUGGGAGCCCGGACUACAACUCCCGGCAACCUCUGCGGCAGGCACUUCCGGACCGCCACGACACGCUCCAGGCCACGGGGAAGUUGGCAUGGGCAUUUGGGGUGGGACUCGGUGGCCGGCCUGAAACAAGCCCAGUUGACCCGGGCUGGUGGCUACCCCCACACGAUGUUGCCUGGGCAUGCCUAGCCCCGAGCCAUCCGGGAGCAGCCGGCCCUCGCCCCUGCCUGCAUCCGCGUCUCUGCCACAAACACGGCUGUGAAGCUCUGCAUAAAUACUGUUCUCGUCCGUGGGCCCUGUUUAGUCCCCAGACAUGGAAGCCACCUCAUCUUUGUAGGGUCUGCUUAUUAGGACCAGCCUACUGCUUUUGUGUGGCUUCACCAACGUUCUCAAUUUUGAAUAAAAAUUUUAAUAAAAAGUUGAAGACAAAACAUAUUAAAGCUUACGAUGACACUUUUUGUAUGCCACACCAUUGA
rnacentral:lncRNA from 1 species